rnacentral:rRNA from 1 species
GGUUGGACGAAUGGGCUGUCUUUUUGGUGUAGUUUGAAUUUAACUUUUGAGUGAAAAGGCUCAAAUUUUUUAGUGGGACGAUAAGACCCUAUAAAACUUUAUACAAAUCUAGCUGAAUCUGUGAUUUUAGUGAAAAAUAGUUUUGUUAAGUCUGUAUUUCAUUGGGGUGAUGAAGAUAUAAUGGAUGUAACUGUCUUAAAAAUUAAAUAAUUGUGAUUAGAUCAUGAUCCUGCAUGUGUGGAUUAAAAGAAUAAGUUACUUUAGGGAUAACAGCGUAAUUUUCUUUGAGAGUUCUUCGACAGGAGUAGUUGCGA